GACUUUUUUAAAUGAGAGUUUGUGUGUUGGAAGAAAGGGCAAGUGGUGGUUGAGGAAUUUGGAGCCCUGGUGUUGGUGGUUGCUGGUCUAUGGCUUGUGGACGUUGAGUUUCCUGCUGUUGACGCCACUGUGUGCAGAAGCCAGCACUUAUUUCACUCUUUUUUUGUUUAGACUGAUUUGAACCAUUACUGUCUCCUUCCCUCCUUCUUUCUUACCCCAUCUUACUCUCUUCCUCCUCCAGAUUCUUCUUUUUCUCCCAUGCGUGCCUAAUCUGUUUCCUCCCCAGAGCCUGCUUCCUUCCUCCCACUUGGCUUGGCUCACCUGUCUUAUCACUCGUGGUUGCACAGAGAAGAAGUAAAGUGAGUGAUAUUGUACCUUCAUGGAGUCCUGUCCCUGGACAGGAGGAAAUUAUUGAUUGGUAGGUGCUUUGGGGUGACUGCUUCCUAAGUUUUUGUUUUUAUUUUCCUAGAAAAUUCCCUUGAUUUUCUUGAAUUCUAGACAAGUCUCUACUUUGGGUUUAAAAAAAAAUUUUUUUAAUGUUGUAUUCAUUUUUGAGGCAGAGAGAGAGCAUAAGCAAGGGAGGGGCAGAGAGAGAGGGAGACACAGAAUCCGAAGCAGGCUCCAGGCUCCGAGCUGUCAGCACAGAGCCCGAUGUGGGGCUCGAACUUACGAACCGUGAGAUCAUGACCUGAGCCGAAGUCAGAGGCUCAACCGACUGAGCCACCCAGGUGCCCCACUACUUUGGGUUUUUUAAAUCGCACUAUUUGAAGACCUAAAUUGAUGGGGUACAUUUGGUUAAUUAUUUACAGAAUCCACUAAAAAUUCUUUGAUCCCCCUGGGACUUCCAGAGGGUGUGGACCUUACCACCUGUACCCUGUCUUUCUCUUCCUCACCCCACUUAGACUGCGUGGACCAUCACCACACGUUCACCUCCGUUGGCUCAGCCCCGCUUCCCUGCCACAUGAUCCUUCUAGUGUGAAGUGUUUGAACGUAGCUCAAGACGGACAACCACGCUGCAUGGUUUCCCCUUAGAUGUACGACAUCACGUCGCUCAAGUGUCCCCCGAGAAUGUCCUGCUACACCGCCCUCGUUUACCUUCUUACGCUCCGGUGGCCUGACAUUUCUUACUUUCUCCUCUCUGUUAGUGUUCAGCGACCUUUGUCGCCCUGUCAGCUAACGUCUUCGUUUCUGAUUUUACUGAGAAACAAGGAGUAGGACGAGAACGUCCCCAUUGUCCUGACACCACAUUUGCCAGCAUACUUGUAUCCGUGCCCAUAUGGUGUCUUCGCCUUGCCUGUCCCGUGGACGAGCCACCCCUGUCCUAGCCACUUGUACUCCUGUCUCUUCCGAAGCGCUGAGUUCUUACGGUGAGUGCUCCCCGCGCUCUCGUGGUUCACUUCCCCCCCACCUGUGUGUUCCUGGCAGCGUGUCAUUAGCCCGUAACAUCUCCUUCCUUAAAACAAACAACCGAAGCCUGGUUUUUCCCUGAUGGUCUUCUCUUGCUGCCGUCUACCCCCCGUUUAGAGUGAAGUUCCUCAGAAACGUUGUUCAUCUUCUGUAUUGACUGCUUCUUGUUCUUUCUCAAAGCUCUUUCAGUCAGACUUUGUCCAGAGCUGCUCUUGUCUUGGUCUUCAGUGGUGACCGUGUGGUCAGUGGCCCGGUCCUCCUCCCACCGGACCCCGCUGUUGUCCCCGCCAUCUUUCUGGGGCCACUGCCUUCCCCUGGCCUCCUGUUUCUUUGCUGCUUUGAGGAACAUCAUGCACUCAGCUGUCUUGCCUCACCGGAUGCUCUGCUCAGUCCCCUUUGCCGGACAGGCUUUCUCAUCCCAGUGUCCCAGGCUGCUAGGGACAUGCCUCUCCUGACACGUCUCUUCUCUCUCUGGGAAAUCUGGGCCUUGUGGGCCGUACAGUCUGGCACAGCUACUCAAACCCAGAUGCUGUAGCACAAAAGUAGCCAUUGGCGGGGUGCCCGCGUGGCUCAGUCUGUUGAGCGUCCGACUUCGGCUCUGGUCAUGAUCUCGCGAUUCGUGAGUUCGAGCCUGUGUCUGGCUCUGAGCUGUCAGCACAGCUUCAGAUUCCGCGUCUCCCUCUCUCUCUGCCCCUCCCCUGCUUGUGCACUCUUCCUCCCUCCCUCCCUCCCUCUCUCUCUGUGUCUGUCUCUCUCUCAAAAAUAAUAAACAUUAAAAAAAAAAAAAAAGCAGCCAUUAUCAUCGCCUACAUUUGAGCCAGUGUAGCUGUGUUCCAAGAAAACUAUUUUGGACUGUACUGUUUUAAUUUCAUGCGGUUUUUACGUGUUGAAAUAGUUUUAAUUUUUCUAACCAUUUCAAAAACGUAAAAACCAUUCUUAACUCACAUAUCAUACAAGAGAGGCUGUGUCCUGUUUGGCCACAUUGCUGACAAGCACCCUGUAUCAUGAAGCAAUGUCAUCUGUUCCUUGGUUUUAGUAUACCACACAUAUGCAGGUGAAUGAAAAACUUGUAUCUCCAGCACCAACUACCCACCUUGAGUUUCAGGCUCACACAUUUAGCGAGCCUGUACCACCACUUGGAUAUCUAAUAGGCAUCUCAUGUCUAAAAUAGAGCUCUUGAUUUUUUUCCCUCUCAAGACUACUUCUUUGGCUGCUGAGUGGACUAAACCUCAGUAAAAGUAGAAGGAUAAUGCAGCCAUUCCGGAUUUAGAACCACCGUGUGAUGGAGAGGAUGGAUGAGGACUCGGGGGCCAGACUUGGAUUCAGAUCCCAACUUUCGGCUCCUUGCUAACUGUGUGACCUUGGGAAAGUUACCUGACCCACCUGCCCCCUCUCUUUAAAUAUGAAAAACACUAACUUUAAAGGGAUGUGAGGAUGAGGAAUAAAUGUGCCUGACAUAGGGUGGGCUCAACAGGUCAUUAACAGAAACCAUAGUAAAAAGCUACCUAUGCGUAGAUUGUCAGAUGAAGGAAACAUUUUUUAUAAUCAAUCUAUUUGUAUAACAGAAUAAAGAUAGCUUACCAAACUGGAGUAUAAAUUAGAGCAGCAGAGAAUUCAGAAGGUAUUCAGAUAGGUAGCAAAAUCUGUCAGGUUACAACUUCCAUAGGUAGGGUAAGUCUGUCAACUGGACGUCUUACAAAUCUCUUGCCAGUUUAGCACUAUGUUGAAAAGUGUUACGGAUUGAAUUUUGUCCCCCUCAGAGUCCUAUGUUGAAGUCCUAAGUUCUGGUACCUCAGAAUGUGACCUUAUUUGGAGACAGGCUUUAAAGAGGUGCUCAAGUUCAAAUGAAUUCAUUAGAUAGACUCUAAUCCAACAUGGCUGCUGUCCUCUUACAAUGUGGGAACUUGGAGACAGACAGGCACACGUGGCGAACACAGCCACCUAUAAGCCAAGGGGAGAGGCUUGGGACAGGUUUGCCCUGACAGCCCUCAGGGGGAACCAACCUUGCAGACGCCUUGAUUUUGGACUUCUGGCUUUCAGAACUGGGGGAUGGUACAUUCCUGUUUAAAUUUAUGGUCCUUUGGUACAGCAGCCCUGGUAUAGGGCUCAUAUAGAAGGGAUCAGGAGGAUUUCUGCAGCAGGACAUGAUGCAGGGAUCUCUGCUCACACCCUGCCGUGUUCUCUAAUGCCUCUGAGUCGUGCCCACUUCCCCCUGUCACUGGGAAGGAAGAGGGGGUUCAUGAGUGAGAGCCACAGUUACACCUGGGGCCGCGUUCUGAGAACCCUGGCCUCCCUGGUCUCUAAGCGAUCAGCUGAUCCAGAGCCCGUGAGCCUGUGAAUUAGAGCAGCAUUACCCACAGUGUGUUGUGCAGAUUAGUGAUCCCAGGAGACCCUCUGGGAAAGGGUUUCUGGUCAAAUUCGUUUCAGGAAAUUGUGUUUUUAUAGAGCUGUUUUUGAAAAGCACGAAGUAUCAGAGAAAGCCUCUGAGAAGUUCUCAGAGCCUUGUUUAAUGAAGCAGUUCUCAAACUUAGGUGAUCGCAGAACCUGUAUGCGCAUGUAGUGUGUGUGUAAAACAUUUGUUAACAUCCCUGAGAGCUGGUGUUAUGUGGGAUAUACUCUGAGAAAUGCUGAUAGAUAAAUCUUGGUUAUAUUCGUCAUAUAGCUUUUUUGACUCAGAAUACUUUAUCAGUUAUGGAUAUUUUCACUUUUCUUAUACCUAUUUGGGUCUCAUCCAUGGCAUAAACUUUUUCUCAGUUUUAUUGAAGUGCAAUUGACAUACAAUAAACUGCAUAUAUUUCAAGUGUACAAUUUGGUAAGUUUUGAUGUACGUGUAUACCUAUGAGAUCAUCACCACAAUCAAGGUAAUGUAUGUAUCGCCCCAAAAGGCAUAAUCAUUUUUAAUACAGUGAUCAUGGUAUCACAUAAUCUUUAAAAAAAUUUUUUUUAACAUUUACUCAUUUUUGAGAGAUGGAGAGAGAGAGAGCACAAGCAGGGGAGACGUGGAGAGAGGGGGAGAUACAGAAUCUGAAGCAGGCUCCAGGCUCUGAGCUGUCAGCGUACAGCCCAAUGCGGGGCUCGAACCUACAAACCACGAGAUCAUGACCUGGGCCAAAGUUGGACGCUUAACCGACCGAGCCACCCAGGUGCCCCUCACAUGAUCAUUUUAAGUAGCAUAGACCUAGUCUGUAGCUCUAGGUCCCAAUAAAAUAAACAGUUUAAUAUUGAACCCUCUUAGCCUCCAAAACUGGUUGGCCAUUUGGAAUUGUCCUAUAUAGCAAAGGGUAAUAAAAAGAGAUAUGAAGAAGAAUACUUUUAUUUAUUUAUAUUUAAAUGACUUGGGACCAUCUGUGUCUGUUUCCUUCACUAUAAAAAAGCUGUAUCUCUUUCAUAGAGCUUUUGCAAAGAGUAAAUAAGAUAGCAUGCAUGAAAAUGCACAACAAUGCCUAGCACAUUGUAGGCACUAACUAAACAAUUUUCUUCCUUCCCUUCCUGGUUUCUUAGCCACCACCUUACCUCCUUCCAGUUUGCAUCCAGGUGUCAGACAGAUGGCUGUUGCUCUGGUUUGGAUCCAAGGUUAUUGGGCGUGGAGACAGAGAAAUGAGCCAGAGUAGUGUACAUUGGUCGUUGUGUUAGAGCAUUUUUGCUUGGUGAAGCUCAGGUAUUUGAAUCAUCUUUUUCUAGGUCUGUUUAAAAAAUGUUUUACCAAGGGGCGCCUGGGUGUCUCAGUCGGUUGGGCAUCCGACUCUUGAUUUUGGCUCAGGUCAUGAUCUCAUGGUUUGUGAGUUUGAGCUCAGCUAAGGGCUCCGUGCUGACAAUGCAGAGCCUGCUUGGGAUUCUCCCUCUCCCUCUCUGCCCCUCCCCUGCAAGCGUGCACAUGCCCCCCCCCGCCUCAAAUAAAUGAAUUAAAAAAAAGGUUUUACUAAAAGUUGGUGUUGGUAGAUUGUUGGGUAGCAACGUGUA